rnacentral:misc_RNA from 1 species
AACGGUCUAUACCUGCGGUACCUGCGGAGGGAUCAUUACCGAGUUUACAACUCCCAAACCCAAUGUGAACGUUACCAAACUGUUGCCUCGGCGGGAUCUCUGCCCCGGGUGCGUCGCAGCCCCGGACCAAGGCGCCCGCCGGAGGACCAACCAAAACUCUUUUUGUAUACCCCCUCGCGGGUUUUUAUAUCUGAGCCAUCUCGGCGCCUCUCGUAGGCGUUUCGAAAAUGAAUCAAAACU